rnacentral:rRNA from 1 species
UCCUACGGGAGGCAGCAGUGAGGAAUAUUGGUCAAUGGACGCAAGUCUGAACCAGCCAUGCCGCGUGAAGGAUGAAGGCGUUCUGCGUUGUAAACUUCUUUUAUCUGGGAAGAAACCUACGUUUUCUAAUGUAGCCGACGGUACCAGAUGAAUAAGCACCGGCUAACUCCGUGCCAGCAGCCGCGGUAAUACGGAGGGUGCAAGCGUUAUCCGGAUUUAUUGGGUUUAAAGGGUCCGUAGGCGGGCCGAUAAGUCAGUGGUGAAAGCCCAUAGCUCAACUAUGGAACUGCCAUUGAUACUGUCGGUCUUGAGUACAAGUGAGGUUGGCGGAAUGUGUGGUGUAGCGGUGAAAUGCUUAGAUAUCACACAGAACACCGAUUGCGAAGGCAGCUGGCCAACUUGUAACUGACGCUGAGGGACGAAAGUGUGGGGAUCAAACAGGAUUAGAUACCCUGGUAGUCCACACCGUAAACGAUGAUCACUAGAUUUUGGCCGUAUGGUCAGAGUCCAAGCGAAAGUGUUUAGUGAUCCACCUGGGGAG